CACCCUGGUGGUGAUGAUCUUCUACAGGGAGGUUUGUGUCCGGGCUCAAACUGAAGUUCCCUCACUGUGUCUCUCGCACAGAAAUACAUGGCCGUGUCCUCGACUCUCAGGUUGUUCAUCUGCAGAGAGAGCGUGUUCUUGGCGUCCCUGGAGAUGGUGAAUCGGCCCUUCACGGAGUCCGCAUAGCUUGUGCUACUUCCACCACUACUAAUAUAUGAGACCCACUCCAGGCCCUUCUCUGGAGCCUGGCGGACCCAGCUCAUGUCAUAGCUACUGAAGUCAAAUCCAGAGGCUGCACAGGAGAGUCGCAGGGAGCCCCCAGGCUUCGCCAGGCCUCCCCCAGACUCCACCAGCUGCACCUCACACUGGACACCUGCAGACACAAGACAUCCUGAUCAGGAAACGGUCACACACCCACUGCUUCUCUCACUCAUAUCCACUCACAUACUCAGUGUCUCACGUUCACCAGGAAUUACCUUUUAGAACAGCAACAAGGAAAACCCAGCCAAGCACAAAGUCCAUGGUGAGAUGUCUGUAUUCUGUCCUGAUCACAGAAUGGGGACUCCUGGGACUCC
rnacentral:lncRNA from 1 species